rnacentral:rRNA from 1 species
CCGACUGUUUAAUUAAAACAAAGCAUCGCGACGGUCCCAGCGGAUGUUGACGCGAUGUGAUUUCUGCUCAGUGCUCUGAAUGUCAAGGUGAAGAAAAUCAAACAAGCGCGGGUAAACAGCGGGAGUAACUAUGACUCUCUUAAGGUAGCCAAAUGCCUCGUCAUCUAAUUAGUGACGCGCACGAAUGGAUCAAUGAGAUUCCUACCGUCCCAACCUACCAUCUAGCGAACCCACAGCUAAGGGAACGGGCUUAGAAUGAACAGCGGGGAAAGAAGACCCUGUUGAGCUUGACUCUAGUCAGACUUUGUGAAUCGAUGCAUGGGGUAUAGCAUAGGUGGGAGCUUUCGGGCGAUCUUGAAAUACCACUACUCGUGACGUUGAUUCGCUUAUUCGCUCGCGUAGGGAAGGGGCCCGAACCGUCGAAGGGCGGAGCGGUGCUCUCGCUUCUGGAACCAACCGUCGAGUCACGUCAGGCGGGUCGGACGGGGGGGGGUUUCUCUCUCCGGCCGUCUCUUCGCUUGGCCUCUGCCGACGGGACCUAAUGCGAAGACAUCUUCUGGGGGGGAGUUUGGCUGGGGCGGCACAUCCGUUAAAGGGUAACACGGGUGUCCGAAGGGGAGCUCAACGAGAACGGAAAUCUCACGUUGCGCAAAAGGGCAAAAGCUCGCUUGAUUUUGAUUUUCAGUACGAAUACGAACCGCGAAAGCGCGGCCUAUCGAUCCUUUAGCCAUCGUUCGCGUUUCGGAUCUAAAGCUAGAGGUGUCAGAAAAGUUACCACAGGGAUAACUGGCUUGUGGCUGCCAAGCGUUCAUAGCGACGUAGCUUUUUGAUCCUUCGAUGUCGGCUCUUCCUAUCAUUGCGAAGCAGAAUUCGCCAAGUGUUGGAUUGUUCACCCUUCGAAAGGGAACGUGAGCUGGGUUUAGACCGUCGUGAGACAGGUUAGUUUUACCCUACUGUUGAAAUGCGCGCAAUAACACGCCCCUCGCGACGGUAAUUCGAUUCAGUACGAGAGGAACCAUCGAUUCGGACAUUUGGUGCCGCGCUCGUCCGAACGGACGGAGGCGCGAGGCUACCGUCCGCGGGAUUACGACUGAACGCCUCUAAGUCGGAAUCCGCUCCGGAGAGCGAGGGCGCACGUCCGACGAGCUUUAGCCGACGCGGAAGCGACCUUAGGGGCGUCCUUUUU